rnacentral:rRNA from 1 species
GAUGAACGCUAGCUACAGGCUUAACACAUGCAAGUCGAGGGGAAACGAUAUUGGAAGCUUGCUUCCGAUAGGCGUCGACCGGCGCACGGGUGAGUAACGCGUAUCCAACCUGCCCAUCACUUGGGGAUAACCUUGCGAAAGUAAGACUAAUACCCAAUGACGUCUCUAGAAGACAUCUGAAAGAGAUUAAAGAUUUAUCGGUGAUGGAUGGGGAUGCGUCUGAUUAGCUUGUUGGCGGGGUAACGGCCCACCAAGGCGACGAUCAGUAGGGGUUCUGAGAGGAAGGUCCCCCACAUUGGAACUGAGACACGGUCCAAACUCCUACGGGAGGCAGCAGUGAGGAAUAUUGGUCAAUGGGCGAGAGCCUGAACCAGCCAAGUAGCGUGAAGGAUGAAGGUCCUACGGAUUGUAAACUUCUUUUAUACGGGAAUAAAGUAUCCUACGUGUAGGAUUUUGUAUGUACCGUAUGAAUAAGCAUCGGCUAACUCCGUG